rnacentral:rRNA from 1 species
AGAGUUUGAUCCUGGCUCAGGACGAACGCUGGCGGCGUGCCUAAUACAUGCAAGUCGAACGAAGCUUUCUUUCACCGAAUGCUUGCAUUCACCGAAAGAAGCUUAGUGGCGAACGGGUGAGUAACACGUAGGCAACCUGCCCAAAAGAGGGGGAUAACACUUGGAAACAGGUGCUAAUACCGCAUAACCAUGAACACCGCAUGAUGUUCAUGUAAAAGACGGCUUUUGCUGUCACUUUUGGAUGGGCCUGCGGCGUAUUAACUUGUUGGGGGGGUAACGGCCUACCAAGGUGAUGAUACGUAGCCGAACUGAGAGGUUGAUCGGCCACAUUGGGACUGAGACACGGCCCAAACUCCUACGGGAGGCAGCAGUAGGGAAUCUUCCACAAUGGACGAAAGUCUGAUGGAGCAACGCCGCGUGAAUGAAGAAGGCCUUCGGGUCGUAAAAUUCUGUUGUCAGAGAAGAACGUGCGUGAGAGUAACUGUUCACGUAUUGACGGUAUCUGACCAGAAAGCCACGGCUAACUACGUGCCAGCAGCCGCGGUAAUACGUAGGUGGCGAGCGUUGUCCGGAUUUAUUGGGCGUAAAGGGAACGCAGGCGGUCUUUUAAGUCUGAUGUGAAAGCCUUCGGCUUAACCGAAGUAGUGCAUUGGAAACUGGAAGACUUGAGUGCAGAAGAGGAGAGUGGAACUCCAUGUGUAGCGGUGAAAUGCGUAGAUAUAUGGAAGAACACCAGUGGCGAAAGCGGCUCUCUGGUCUGUAACUGACGCUGAGGUUCGAAAGCGUGGGUAGCAAACAGGAUUAGAUACCCUGGUAGUCCACGCCGUAAACGAUGAGUGCUAAGUGUUGGAGGGUUUCCGCCCUUCAGUGCUGCAGCUAACGCAUUAAGCACUCCGCCUGGGGAGUACGGUCGCAAGACUGAAACUCAAAG